rnacentral:rRNA from 1 species
GACGAACGCUGGCGGCGUGCUUAACACAUGCAAGUCGAACGGAAAGGCCCUGCUUGCAGGGUGCUCGAGUGGCGAACGGGUGAGUAACACGUGGGUGAUCUGCCCCUUACUUUGGGAUAAGCCUGGGAAACUGGGUCUAAUACUGGAUAGGACCAUGCUGUAGGUGGUGUGGUGGAUAGUUUAGUUUCGGUAUGGGAUGAGCUCGCGGCCUAUCAGCUUGUCGGUGGGGUAAUGGCCUACCAAGGCGUCGACGGGUGGCCGGCCUGAGAGGGUGGACGGCCACAUUGAGACUGAGAUACGGCGCAGACUCCUACGGGAGGCAGCAGUGGGGAAUAUUGCACAAGGGGCGCAAGCCUGAUGCAGCGACGCCGCGUGGGGGAUGACGGCCUGCGGGUUGUAAACACCUUUCAGCCAUGUCGAAGCCCUUGUGGUGACGGUAGUGGUAGAAGAAGCACCGGCUAACUACGUG